rnacentral:rRNA from 1 species
UACAGAGGUCCCAAGCGUUGUUCGGAUUCACUGGGCGUAAAGGGUGCGUAGGCGGUCGGGUAAGUCUGGCGUGAAAUCUCCAAGCCUAACUUGGAAACUGCGUUGGAUACUAUCCGGCUCGAGGAAUGGAGGGGAGACUGGAAUACCUGGUGUAGCAGUGAAAUGCGUAGAUAUCAAGUGGAACACCAGUGGCGAAGGCGAGUCUCUGGACAUUUCCUGACGCUGAGGCACGAAAGCCAGGGGAGCAAACGGG